rnacentral:lncRNA from 1 species
CCAAGCGAAGAUAUCAAUCAUAGCCCUACCUUCUAGAUUCAAAAAAUAUAGUAAACGAUCAUAUUUCAUCCUCCUAUUACAGUAUUCAAUAUCAGGACAAAUAUUUUACAAGAAAUACUACGUAUCGGUGUCGGUACAAGUGGAUUAGACUUACGCUCUUUCUCAUUCGCGCCAAAUACUUGAAUGAUACGGACAUCUGAAAAAGCUUCUGAUUGGUCAUUGCUCCAUUUUUGGCGCCGCUCUCCCUCUGAAAGCCCGCGCUUUUUCAUCUCAGUUGUUUAUGUUCCAACAUGUGAUAGAGGUUAGAAUAUUAGAAAUGCUGUUUUGAUUAAUUUAUGGUGUCUAUUAUUCAUUAUUCAGUGACUGCUGUGAUUUUGCAAUUAAAUUUUGCGCUUCCCAAGUUUCUAUAAAGAAUAAAAUGCUUAAUAGUUGGCUCAGUUUUCCGGUACGUUCAAGUUUGUUCAGUUUCCCUUGAGCUGGAUGUGUUUCAGGUUUCAUCCUGUGUUCAUGCGAAGACAUCUGAGAUUACCUAUCUGAUGAACCAGUAGAGCCUUUUUGAUGUUUGUCAAAUAAAAAUCUAAGAAAUCUUAUUAAGUAAGCCAUGAGCAUCCUUUAAAUCUGCAGAACUGUUAUUUGUGACCAUGGAUGAAGUUACUAAAGAGGAUAUCAAGUACCAGUUUCUUAAUGUCUUCGAAGAUUUACUAUUGGACUUGAAGAAUGCAAAAAAUGUCAGACCCGAAAUUGAAAAUGAUAACGACGACGACGUAAUAACUCUUGCUCCUGAGAUUAAGAAACCUGCCGUGGCCCCGGUUUACAAAACAAGAGGUCGCCCCAGAAAGAACGACUCCGUUGACUCCUUCCUUGAAUUGAAAGCAACCAGGGCCAAGAGAAAGCAGCCCUCAGGCCGUCAGACUGACAUAAGAGCAAGUUUCAACUCUAGUUUCGACUCCGUCAACAAUAAGGGGCUCAUCAACGUCGUUGCAGAUGUUCAUCGAGACUCCUCACAACCGAUCGAAGCUUCGACUCAUUUCAAGAAGAAAUCAGCUACAAGUGAUGAAAUAUUUGAUAGUUGUUGGACAAAAAAUCGAAAGAAACUGAAAUCAGUUGCAGUCAGGAAUCAGAUGACUAUUUCCAAGUCUCUAAAAAACCGCGCAAGUCUUAUCCAGGUGCAAAAUCAAGUACUGCGAUGA